UACGGAGGGUGCAAACGUUGUUCGGUGUCAUUGGGCUUAAAGGGUGCGUAGGCGGCCAGACAAGUCAGGUGUGAAAUCCCCCCGGCUUAACCGGGGAAUUGCGCUUGAUACUGUCCGGCUUGAGGGCCAAAGGGGAGAGCGGAACUCCAGGUGUAGCGGUAAAAUGCGUAGAUAUCUGGGGGAACGCCGAAGGCGAAGGCAGCUCUCUGGGUGGUUCCUGACGCUGAGUGCACGAAAGCUGGGGGAGCAAACAGGAUUAGAUACCCCUGUA
rnacentral:rRNA from 1 species